rnacentral:rRNA from 1 species
AUUGAACGCUGGCGGCAGGCCUAACACAUGCAAGUCGAACGGUAACAGGAAGAAGCUUGCUUCUUUGCUGACGGGUGGCGGGCGGGUGAGCAAUGUCUGGGCAACUGCCUGGUGGAGGGGGAUAACUAUUGGAAACGGUAGCUAAUACCGCAUAACGUCGCAAGACCAAAGAGGGGGACAUUCGGCGCUCUCGGCAUCGGCUGUGCCCAGAUGGGAUUAGCUAGUAGGUGGGGUAACGGCUCACCUAGGCGACGAUCCGUAGCUGGUCUGAGAGGAUGAUCAGUCACACUGGAACUGAGACACGGUCCAGACUCCUACGGGAGGCAGCAGUGGGGAAUAUUGGACAAUGGGCGCAAGCCUGAUGCAGCCAUGCCGCGUGUAUGAAGAAGGCCUUCGGGUUGUAAAGUACUUUCAGCGGGGAGGAAGGGAGUAAAGUUAAUACCUUUGCUCAUUGACGUUACCCGCAGAAGAAGCACCGGCUAACUCCGUG